UACGUAGGGUGCAAGCGUUAAUCGGAAUUACUGGGCGUAACGCGUGCGCAGGCGGUUUUGUAAGUCUGAUGUGAAAUCCCCGGGCUCAACCUGGGAAUUGCAUUGGAGACUGCAAGGCUAGAAUCUGGCAGAGGGGGGUAGAAUUCCACGUGUAGCAGUGAAAUGCGUAGAGAUGUGGAGGAACACCGAUGGCGAAGGCAGCCCCCUGGGUCAAGAUUGACGCUCAUGCACGAAAGCGUGGGGAGCAAACAGG
rnacentral:rRNA from 1 species